rnacentral:rRNA from 1 species
UACGGGGGGGGCAAGCGUUGUUCGGAAUUACUGGGCGUAAAGCGUGCGCAGGCGGUUUUGUAAGCCAGAUGUGAAAGCCCCGGGCUUAACCUGGGAAUGGCAUUUGGGACUGCAAGGCUUGAGUGCGGCAGAGGAGACUGGAAUUCCUGGUGUAGCAGUGAAAUGCGUAGAUAUCAGGAGGAAUACCGAUGGCGAAGGCAGGUCUCUGGGCUGACACUGACGCUCAUGCACGAAAGCGUGGGGAGCAAACAGG